CCGGGAAAGCAGUACUGCAUACUUCAGCAGUGGAGCUCCGUGACCAGUCGCCCGGCACUUCAAGAGAGAAAAGCCACCCUGGACUCGCUGUCAGUCAAGAGCAGAAGUAAAGCAAUGGAAGAGGAAGUACAAUAAGAGAAUCAGAACAAACACCCUGCUACACACACAUUGUGUGCAGCAGGAACAAAGUGCAAGGGAGCUCAGCGUGCUUGAAGAGACAGGAUGUAAAGCUCUCCUUCUGAAUGGGUAUCAGGUCCUAUCGAAGUCUAUUGUCUCCUGGAGCCCAGACCUCACAAUGUCCCAUUGUGACAAAUGCAAAGACAAGGUGGUUAAAUCCCAGUUUUCCAGAUCUCUGCCUUCAUUUUCAGUCUCCAGGACUCUACCCCUGAGGAUGGUUCUGCUCUCACUGCCUGGGCUGCCUCCCUGCUGGCUGUGUCCGUUCUUUGGAAGUGACUGUGCAAUACUUCAUCCUGUCCUGCCACCAUCAGUCCUCAUCCUUUACCUCUGCAAGUUACACCGAAGUUCUUCAGGUGGUAGCUGAUGAGAGCAGUAACACAGGAAGUUGCCCAGCUGGGGAUGAAGACACAAGAGCCUACUGCAGAACCACAGCUUCUCAGACCUUUAGAAGAAGCCAUGUGAAGAUAUAAAGAGAAGAGAAGACAGUCAUCCACAAGCGAGGAAGAAAGUCUCACCAGAAAUCAACCCUUUGGGCACCUUGAUCUCAGACUUUUAGCCUCCAGAACUGUGAGAAAAUACAUGUCUGUUCUUUAAGCCACCCAGUCUAUGGUACUUUGUUAUGGCAGCCCUAGCAGACUAAUACAACCAGCUUGGGGCCUUGAAGACUUUAUCUUCAAAACUCCUCAUGUAACACUCAGAAAAACACCACGCCCUAAAUCCACAUCCCACAACUUCUUAUCACUUCCUUAUCACUUACCUGCAUCUCCAGCAGGAUCAGGACUAGGGUGAGAUGGGUGAGGCACUUUUCCAGGGCACAAAAAACACAGUAAUCUCCCAGGUACACCCCAAAACUCAGCAAUUAAGAUAAAUAACACUUCAAUGAAAUAUUUUUUAAAAUCAAAAUUAAUGCAAAAAAUCCAUGAGCUUUGGCUACUUUGCAGUUUUGCCCACAACUAGCCAUGGUUGAGAGCUUUUUCUCCAUGACUUUAUCAUGUAAGUGGAAUUCCUGUGAAUGAACCCCAAACUCCAUACUUGGGAUAAAGGAACUAUCCUUUUUCCCCAUGACAGAUUAUUAUAAGCUGUUAAUAAGAAACAACAAGUUUAGGCUAAGUGCUGGCUGUGUUACAGAUUUUGUCCUGAGUGCAGAGUGUUCAAUAAUGAACACAGGAGAUGAAGUCAGCCACAUGGAGAUGGCAGUCUGCAGAGGGACAGAAACAAGUAAAGGACAGUAACAGUCGACAGUGCUCAGGCUCCAAGUGAGCACAUGCAAAGGAGAGUGGACCAUGGAAGCAGGCAGAAGACAUCUAAGCCUGACUGAGGGCUUCAGGAAAAGGUGUCAUGGGGAAAGUGUCAUCUCCAUUUAUCAAAUGCCAGAGGCAGGGAAAUAUGGCUCCAAGCAGAGGAGAAAUGUGUGUAAAUCCUCAGAGAGGCUGCUGUUUACUGAGUACUUACCAUUAGUUGACAAACCACAAGCAUCAUGGCAUUGAAAGCUUGUGACAUCCUCUAAGAUAGGUGUACUACUUUCUUGCACAUCCCCAUCUAACCCAUCACCAAAUUCUGUUGGUUCCACCUUCAAAAUAAAGAAUCCAACCACCUCUUGACAAAUUCAUUUCCACCCCCAAGUCUGAGACUCCUAAUUGGUCUGCUGGCUUCCUCCUUCGCCUUCUUCAGUCAUUUCUCAAUUCCAAUGCCAGAGCCAUCUUUCUGAACCAUAAAUGUGAUUAUGCUACUUCUCUGGCCCAAACCUUCCAAUUGCUUCUCAUUCUCACUCACAGUAAAGUCCAAGAAGUCAAGUAACCUGCCCUGCAAAACCCUCUUCCUGUUAGCUCUCUCACCUCAUCUCUUUAUAACAACUCUAUAAUUGACUGACUUUGUUUACUGUUUGUAUUCUCCACCAACUGCCCAAACAACCACCAAAAAAACCUGUUGAUGAAGUCAAGUUAAGUUUAUUAGAUUUACUGCAGUAAGGAAGGAGACCAUCUUGACAGAAUCUUACUAAUAUUUAAAAAUGAGAAGUUCGAGCAGGCAAUUUGUAGGGGUUUAGGGCUUGGGCUAGGUGAUGUUAAGAAUGAUCUCGCAAGGUGGGGAAUGGAUCAGAAUCGGACAAUUUAUGACAUAUUAGCUUGGGAUUGGUAGGAAAAUUGAGGUCAGGGUCUUGUAGGGCUUGUUAAAUAAACUAUUAGUCUUGAUUGACAAGCCUUAUUUCUUACUAUUGUGUAACACGUGACCGAGAAUUCUUUCUGCUUCAGUUCUCACCCCACUAGAAAGUGAGCUCCAGGGGGGAAUGGGUUUAUUUUCCUGUUUUGUUAACUUGUAUCCCAUCACAGAGACGAAUGCAUGUAAGUUCAGAGUAGGCAUCAAUAAAUGUUUGUUGUAUGAAGGAAUGAAUGUUGUUAUUCUGAUUUUUAAAAUAAGGAAACUGAAACGCAAAUAACUUCCCUUGGUUACAUAACUAGAUAGCAAGACAACUGAGAUUUGAACACAGGGCUAUUUGAUUCUAAAGCCAAACCCUUUCUCCUGUGCCACCCUGCUAAUGAUAAUUAAUGUUAAUUGAGGCUCUGUGUUAAGUGCUUUUAAUAUAGUUUAUAAUUUAACUCAAUAACUCCACAAUGCAGGUACCAUCACUAUUCCUCUUUUAAGGAUGAGGAAACUGAGGCUUACAGAAAUUAAGUCACCCAAGUUCAAAAAGUUCACAAAUGUAGACAUGUUUCUCAAAGUUAGGUUACUGUGACUCAAAAUACUAUGCAAUAGCCAAAAGGUGAAAACAAUCCAAAUGCUCAUCAGUGGACGAGUGGAUAAGCAAAAUGUGGUAUACACAUACAAUGCAAUAUUAUUCAGCCUUAAAAAGGAAGGAAAUUCUGACACAUGCUACAACAUGAAUGAACCUUGAGGACAUUAUGCUAAGGAAAUAAGCCAGUCACAACAGGACAAAUACAUAUGAUUCCACUUAUAUGAGGUACCUAAGAGUAGUCAAAUUCCUAGAGACAUAGAAUAGAGUUGUGGUUGCCAAGGGCUUGGAGAAGAGGGGGACGAGGAACUAUUGUUUAAUGGAUAAAAAUUUCAGUUUUGCAAAACUAUGCUAAAAAACUGUAUGCCAAAAAAUUGAAUAACCUAAAUGAAAUAGACAAAU
ensembl:lncRNA